ensembl:lncRNA
CUCCUGUGGAACAACCCAUUACCCAGAACUGUACACUUUCUACCGUUGAGGGAAAAGGUGAACAAACAGGAGAACUUCAAAGGCUUCCUGGCAGUGGGGAACAUUGGCAGGGUGGCAGCUAUUUUCUUCUCCAUAAUCAUAAUCCUCGUCUUUAUUUUCCGUCGGAUGCUUCUGUCCAGGGACGAUGGACAUCGGCUCAACACCUCAACUGCUGGGAAUAUCUAUGAAAGCAUCCCAGUGCCUUAAAGACAGCAAACGUAAUUGGAGCACAGAUUUCUAUAAGCAACUUCAGACUGCAAAAGUAGCCACGUGUCAUGUGUCAAAAAUCUCAAACUCAUUAAAUAACAGUUUGAACUCUUUUGGAAAUGGGAACACAAAUGACCCAUUUCCACAGUAAAGCAGCUUAUAUUCUCAGAUGGCACUGAAAAGGGUAAAUGUGAGUCAGAAGAUGCAACACUAUCCUGCACAUAAAUUCAUUUGCUUUUAAUUUCUGAUUUUCUGUGUUUGCCCUGAAAAGUAUGUGACUAGUUUAUGCUUGUGGCCACAAUGCCACCUACUGGCCUGACUGAAUACUGUUAUCACAAUCCUCAGUAAUGUGAAAAACACCGUUUGGUGGUAAAGCGAAGAUAGGAGCUGAAAUUAUAAGAGGCUGGGAGACAUGUGAAGA